rnacentral:misc_RNA from 1 species
UCCGGUUUGACACCGGCAGUCUCCCUAGAGUGUCCGGCAUAACCCGCUGGUAACUAGGGACGAGGGUUGCGCUCGUUGCGGGACUUAACCCAACAUCUCACGACACGAGCUGACGACAGCCAUGCACCACCUGUGCACUAGCCCCGAAGGGCUGCCGUAUUUCUACGACAUUCCAGUGCAUGUCAAGCCCUGGUAAGGUUCUUCGCGUUGCAUCGAAUUAAGCCACAUGCUCCGCCGCUUGUGCGGGUCCCCGUCAAUUCCUUUGAGUUUUAGCCUUGCGGCCGCACUCCCCAGGCGGAGUGCUUAAUGCGUUAGCUGCGGCACAGAGCGGGUUGAAGACCGCCCCACACCUAGCACUCAACGUUUACGGCUGGGACUAC